UCGAUUUGGAGUUUGUUGCCUAGAGUGAUGGGCUCCGAAGCUAACGCGAUAAAUCGACCGCCUGGGGAGUACGGCCGCAAGGUUAAAACUCAAAUGAAUUGACGGGGGCCCGCACAAGCGGUGGAGCAUGUGGUUUAAUUCGAUGCAACGCGAAGAACCUUACCUGGUCUUGACAUCCACAGAAUCUUUCAGAGAUGAGGGAGUGCCUUCGGGAACUGUGAGACAGGUGCUGCAUGGCUGUCAUCAGCUCGUGUUGUGAAAUGUUGGGUUAAGUCCCGCAACGAGCGCAACCCUUAUCCUUUGUUGCCAGCGAUUAGGUCGGGAACUCAAAGGAGACUGCCGUUGAUAAAACGGAGGAAGGUGGGGACGACGUCAAGUCAUCAUGGCCCUUACGACCAGGGCUACACACGUGCUACAAUGGCGUAUACAAAGGGAAGCGAAGGUGCGAGCUGGAGCGGACCUCCUAAAGUACGUCUAAGUCCGGAUUGGAGUCUGCAACUCGACUCCAUGAAGUCGGAAUCGCUAGUAAUCGUGAAUCAGAAUGUCACGGUGAAUACGUUCCCGGGCCU
rnacentral:rRNA from 1 species